GACGAACGCUGGCGGCGUGCUUAACACAUGCAAGUCGAACGGAAAGGCCCUGCUUUUGUGGGGUGCUCGAGUGGCGAACGGGUGAGUAACACGUGAGUAACCUGCCCUUGACUUUGGGAUAACUUCAGGAAACUGGGGCUAAUACCGGAUAGGAGCUCUUGCUGCAAGGUGGGGGUUGGAAAGUUUCGGCGGUUGGGGAUGGACUCGCGGCUUAUCCGCUUGUUGGUGGGGUAGUGGCUUACCAAGGCUUUGACGGGUAGCCGGCAUGGGAGGUUGACCGGCCACAUUGGGACUAAGAUACGGCCCAGACUCGUACGGGAGGCAGCAGGGGGGAAUAUUGCAGAAUGGGCGGAAGCCUGAUGCAGCAACGCCGCGUGCGGGAUGACGGCCUUCGGGUUGUAAACCGCUUUCGCCGGUGACGAAGCGUGAGUGACGGUAAUGGGUAAAGAAGCACCGGCUAACUACGUG
rnacentral:rRNA from 1 species